GGGACCCUUUUGUGAAGAGUUAUGUAGAAAUGCUGGAAUUCUAUGGGGAUCGAGAUGGAGCCCAAGAGGUACUCACCAAUUAUGCAUAUGAUGAAAAGUUUCCAUCAAAUCCAAAUGCCCAUAUCUACUUAUACAACUUUCUAAAGAGACAGAAGGCACCAAGAUCAAAAUUGAUAAGUGUGCUUAAGCAUCUACAGAAAAUUUCAAUAAUGUACAGUACACUGAGAUAAACAGAGAAAGUUGGCUCCAGCUGCCAUCUCCAUGUAUGUAUCAUCCACACUAUCCCCUGCUGCCCAGAUGAGACUGAGGAGAGAGGAUCAGAAGUCUUGUGCAACCCUGGUUGGAAUACUCUGCACUGAUAUUUUUUGAAAAUCAACUUUAUUGAAAUUUAGUUUUCAGAGAGUAAACACACUUAUUUUAAGUAUAUGCUUGGAUGCAUUACAUUCACGAACCACCAUGGUAAUCAUGAUAUAGAACAUUUCUGUCGCCCCCAGAAUGCCUUUCAUUUCCCUUUGCAGCCGGUCUGUCCCCACAACCAUGGCCCCAGAUAAUCACUGAUCUGCUUAUUGUCACUAUAAAUUUUUAUCUCUUCUAGAAUUUCAUGUAAAUGGACUCUUAUGUAGUCAUUUUAAUCUGGCUUCUCUUGCUCAGCAUAACAUAUUUGAGAUUCAUCCAUGUUAUUGUGUAUAUUAGUAAUUUCCUUAAUACUGCUGAAUAGUAUUUCAUUUUUAUACAUUCACUUCUUGAUGGACAUUUGGGUAAUUUUUACUUUUUGGCUAU
rnacentral:sRNA from 1 species